CUCGACUACAAGAAGAAGUACGAAGCCACUAAGGCCAAGUGGAACUGGACGACGGACAGACCAGAUUUUCUCAAUGCUGCUAAGAACUCCAUGCAGCAGAGUGAUGUUGAGUACAAGUAUGACAAGGAGAUGCUGAAGGGCUGUGUUAUCCCUGUGACCGACGACAAACUUAUGCUCCUUCGUUUGCAAAAUUCUGAGAUGGCCAGCGAGGUGAAAUACAAAUUGAAGUAUGAAAAGGCCAAGGGUCACUAUCUGCCUGUCAUGGACACUCCUCAAAUCCUUCAUGCCAAGUCUGUGAAACUGCUGUCAUCAGAG